UACGAAGGGGGCUAGCGUUGUUCGGAAUUACUGGGCGUAAAGCGUAUGCAGGCGGAUCGUUAAGUCGGGGGUGAAAUCCCGAGGCUCAACCUCGGAACUGCCUUCGAUACUGGCGAUCUCGAGUCCGGGAGAGGUGAGUGGAACUCCGAGUGUAGAGGUGAAAUUCGUAGAUAUUGGGAAGAACACGGUGGCGAAGGCGGCUCUCUGGACCGAGACUGACGCUGAGGCGCGGAAAGCG
rnacentral:rRNA from 1 species